rnacentral:ncRNA from 2 species
UCGCGUGCUCUGGGGUCGGUGAAAAUCCGAGCCGGCGGUGAAAGUCCGCGACCCGGUCACCUCCAGUGACCGGUUGACCAGGUGGAACUCCUGGACCGACGGUCAAAGUCCGGAUGGGAAGUGCACGCAG